GUUUGUACACGGAGCCGUCACACUUGCACAUAUGGCAUUGCAGACCCAGACCCUGGGCCUCGACGAGGAUUCCACUGCCUGGAGUGCAGGCCGGGGGUGGGGUGACCGGUGAGGCCUGCCAGGUACCAUGCAGGGUUCUGAAAACUCAAGUGAGAACUCGCUCACUUGGCCAGAGGAGACAGACGGUUUGUGAUGGAAAUGGCAGGACCACAUUCAAGAUCAUCCUCCUUGCUGGACGAAUGACAAGUACGUCUCUAUGCACUUCCAGGGGAGUGAGACUGGAGAGAGGCAGAAGCAGGUGAGAGCU